GCCUGGGUGGCUCAGUUGUUAAGCGUCUGACUUUGGCUCAGGUCGUGAUCUCGCGGUUUGUGGGUUCGAGCCCCAUGUCGGGCU
rnacentral:tRNA from 1 species